GCGAGGCGCGAGGAUCCCGGGACCGGCGCGUGCUCCGUGCUAUCUAGGAUAGGUGUGGUUGCUCGUCCGGGUUGGUUGAUUGGCGGGUAUUGGAGGGUUGUUGGCCGCUGUCAAAAGGAGAUCAUUUUGUCACAAGUUGUUGUAGUGUGAGAGCCUGUUUUCAUCAUUUUAUUAGGAGCGCACCAUGGAGGAUGAGAUUCAGGCCGGCGAGGACGGCCUCUACUGCGUCGGCUUCAAAAACGUGUAUGCGCUGACGCGCGAUGAGAUCUUGGAGGCGCUGUCGCAGUACGGCCGCACGCGCUCCGUGCGCGGCUCGUGCGACGGUCUCAAGCGCAGCUGGACGUUUGUG